rnacentral:rRNA from 1 species
UACAGAGGUCUCAACCGUUGUUCGGAUUCAUUGGGCGUAAAGGGUGCGUAGGCGGUCGUGCAAGUCGGAUGUGAAAUCUCAGGGCUCAACCCUGAAACUGCAUUCGAUACUGCGUGGCUAGAGUGCUGGAGAGGAGACUGGAAUUUACGGUGUAGCAGUGAAAUGCGUAGAUAUCGUAAGGAAGACCAGUGGCGAAGGCGAGUCUCUGGACAGCAACUGACGCUGAGGCACGA